rnacentral:tRNA from 1 species
AUUUAAAUAGUUUAUUAAAAAUUUUGAUUUGUGGUGUCAAGGAUAUGAGUUAUCAUUUUAAAUC